rnacentral:tRNA from 1 species
GGGUUUGUAGCCUAGCCUGGACAGGGCGUCAGACUCCUAAUCUGAAAGUCGGGGGUUCGAAUCCCCCCAAAUCCG